rnacentral:rRNA from 1 species
GGUUAAGUGACUAAGCGUACACGGUGGAUGCCCUGGCAGUCAGAGGCGAUGAAGGACGUGCUAAUCUGCGAAAAGCGUCGGUAAGGUGAUAUGAACCGUUAUAACCGGCGAUGUCCGAAUGGGGAAACCCAGUGUGAUUCGUCACACUAUCGUUAACUGAAUACAUAGGUUAACGAGGCGAACCGGGGGAACUGAAACAUCUAAGUACCCCGAGGAAAAGAAAUCAACCGAGAUUCCCCCAGUAGCGGCGAGCGAACGGGGAGCAGCCCAGAGUCUGAAUCAGCUUGUGUGUUAGUGGAACGGUCUGGAAAGUCCGACGGUACAGGGUGAUAGUCCCGUACACCAAAAUGCACAGGCUGUGAACUCGAAGAGUAGGGCGGGACACGUGGUAUCCUGUCUGAAUAUGGGGGGACCAUCCUCCAAGGCUAAAUACUCCUGACUGACCGAUAGUGAACCAGUACCGUGAGGGAAAGGCGAAAAGAACCCCGGCGAGGGGAGUGAAAAAGAACCUGAAACCGUGUACGUACAAGCAGUGGGAGCACCUUCGGGUGUGACUGCGUACCUUUUGUAUAAUGGGUCAGCGACUUAUAUUCUGUAGCAAGGUUAACCGUAUAGGGGAGCCGCAGGGAAACCGAGUCUUAACUGGGCGUUAAGUUGCAGGGUAUAGACCCGAAACCCGGUGAUCUAGCCAUGGGCAGGUUGAAGGUUGGGUAACACUAACUGGAGGACCGAACCGACUAAUGUUGAAAAAUUAGCGGAUGACUUGUGGCUGGGGGUGAAAGGCCAAUCAAACCGGGAGAUAGCUGGUUCUCCCCGAAAGCUAUUUAGGUAGCGCCUCGUGAACUCAUCUUCGGGGGUAGAGCACUGUUUCGGCUAGGGGGUCAUCCCGACUUACCAACCCGAUGCAAACUACGAAUACCGAAGAAUGUUAUCACGGGAGACACACGGCGGGUGCUAACGUCCGUCGUGAAGAGGGAAACAACCCAGACCGCCAGCUAAGGUCCCAAAGUCAUGGUUAAGUGGGAAACGAUGUGGGAAGGCACAGACAGCCAGGAUGUUGGCUUAGAAGCAGCCAUCAUUUAAAGAAAGCGUAAUAGCUCACUGGUCGAGUCGGCCUGCGCGGAAGAUGUAACGGGGCUAAACCAUGCACCGAAGCUGCGGCAGCGACACUAUGUGUUGUUGGGUAGGGGAGCGUUCUGUAAGCCUGCGAAGGUGUGCUGUGAGGCAUGCUGGAGGUAUCAGAAGUGCGAAUGCUGACAUAAGUAACGAUAAAGCGGGUGAAAAGCCCGCUCGCCGGAAGACCAAGGGUUCCUGUCCAACGUUAAUCGGGGCAGGGUGAGUCGACCCCUAAGGCGAGGCCGAAAGGCGUAGUCGAUGGGAAACAGGUUAAUAUUCCUGUACUUGGUGUUACUGCGAAGGGGGGACGGAGAAGGCUAUGUUAGCCGGGCGACGGUUGUCCCGGUUUAAGCAUGUAGGCUGGUUGUCCAGGCAAAUCCGGAUAAUCAAGGCUGAGGUGUGAUGACGAGGCACUACGGUGCUGAAGUAACAAAUGCCCUGCUUCCAGGAAAAGCCUCUAAGCAUCAGGUAACAUUAAAUCGUACCCCAAACCGACACAGGUGGUCAGGUAGAGAAUACCAAGGCGCUUGAGAGAACUCGGGUGAAGGAACUAGGCAAAAUGGUGCCGUAACUUCGGGAGAAGGCACGCUGGUGUGUAGGUGAAGUCCCUGCGGAUGGAGCUGAGACCAGUCGAAGAUACCAGCUGGCUGCAACUGUUUAUUAAAAACACAGCACUGUGCAAACACGAAAGUGGACGUAUACGGUGUGACGCCUGCCCGGUGCCGGAAGGUUAAUUGAUGGGGUUAUCCGUAAGGAGAAGCUCUUGAUCGAAGCCCCGGUAAACGGCGGCCGUAACUAUAACGGUCCUAAGGUAGCGAAAUUCCUUGUCGGGUAAGUUCCGACCUGCACGAAUGGCGUAAUGAUGGCCAGGCUGUCUCCACCCGAGACUCAGUGAAAUUGAACUCGCUGUGAAGAUGCAGUGUACCCGCGGCAAGACGGAAAGACCCCGUGAACCUUUACUAUAGCUUGACACUGAACAUUGAGCCUUGAUGUGUAGGAUAGGUGGGAGGCUUUGAAGCGUGGACGCCAGUCUGCGUGGAGCCAACCUUGAAAUACCACCCUUUAAUGUUUGAUGUUCUAACGUUGGCCCCUUACCGGGGUUGCGGACAGUGUCUGGUGGGUAGUUUGACUGGGGCGGUCUCCUCCCAAAGCGUAACGGAGGAGCACGAAGGUUAGCUAAUCCUGGUCGGACAUCAGGAGGUUAGUGCAAUGGCAUAAGCUAGCUUGACUGCGAGCGUGACGGCGCGAGCAGGUGCGAAAGCAGGUCAUAGUGAUCCGGUGGUUCUGAAUGGAAGGGCCAUCGCUCAACGGAUAAAAGGUACUCCGGGGAUAACAGGCUGAUACCGCCCAAGAGUUCAUAUCGACGGCGGUGUUUGGCACCUCGAUGUCGGCUCAUCACAUCCUGGGGCUGAAGUAGGUCCCAAGGGUAUGGCUGUUCGCCAUUUAAAGUGGUACGCGAGCUGGGUUUAGAACGUCGUGAGACAGUUCGGUCCCUAUCUGCCGUGGGCGCUGGAGAAUUGAGGGGGGCUGCUCCUAGUACGAGAGGACCGGAGUGGACGCAUCACUGGUGUUCGGGUUGUCAUGCCAAUGGCACUGCCCGGUAGCUAAAUGCGGAAGAGAUAAGUGCUGAAAGCAUCUAAGCACGAAACUUGCCCCGAGAUGAGUUCUCCCUGAGACUUUAAGUCUCCUGAAGGAACGUUGAAGACGACGACGUUGAUAGGCCGGGUGUGUAAGCGCAGCGAUGCGUUGAGCUAACCGGUACUAAUGAACCGUGAGGCUUAACCUU